GAUGAACGCUGGCGGCGUGCCUAAUACAUGCAAGUCGAGCGAACAGACGAGGAGCUUGCUCCUCUGACGUUAGCGGCGGACGGGUGAGUAACACGUGGAUAACCUACCUAUAAGACUGGGAUAACUUCGGGAAACCGGAGCUAAUACCGGAUAAUAUAUUGAACCGCAUGGUUCAAUAGUGAAAGACGGUUUUGCUGUCACUUAUAGAUGGAUCCGCGCCGCAUUAGCUAGUUGGUAAGGUAACGGCUUACCAAGGCGACGAUGCGUAGCCGACCUGAGAGGGUGAUCGGCCACACUGGAACUGAGACACGGUACAGACUCCUACGGGAGGCAGCAGUAGGGAAUCUUACGCAAUGGGCGAAAGCCUGACGGAGCAACGCCGCGUGAGUGAUGAAGGUCUUCGGAUCGUAAAACUAUGUUAUUAGGGAAGAACAAAUGUGUAAGUAACUAUGCACGUAUUGACGGUACCUAAUCAGAAAGCCACGGCUAACUACGUG
rnacentral:rRNA from 1 species